GUGGUCGUUUUGGCAACACAUGUGCUAAAACUGGAACGAUGCAGAGAAGAUUUGCCCGGUCCCUGCUCAAAUUCGUGAAGUGUCCCAUAUUUUU
rnacentral:snRNA from 1 species